UACGGAGGGUGCAAGCGUUAUCCGGAUUUACUGGGUUUAAAGGGUGUGUAGGCGGGCCAUUAAGUCAGGGGUGAAAUCCCGGAGCUCAACUCCGGAACUGCCUUUGAUACUGGAGAGCUUGAGUCCGGGAGAGGAGGGUGGAAUAGCCAGUGUAGAGGUGAAAUUCGUAGAUAUUGGCUGGAACACCGGUGGCGAAAGCGGCGUCUACGUGGCCCGGCUUCUGGCCGGCUCGAGGCGACGAAA
rnacentral:rRNA from 1 species